CACUCCAGAUCAGAUAAAUGAGCGGAGUGCACCAGAGUUUUAACCUGUCCUUCACACAACCAGCAACCCUUUCUCUCAGUCUUCCACACCCACUGAGUUGCACAAUGAUGACAGUUUGCGAUGUGCUCUUGAAAUAGCACCGAUGACAUCAACGGUGAAUGGCAGGAAGGAAGUUCUAACAUGAAGGGGGUGAAUGCACGUAGAAAACGGCCUUUAACGAAGCAUCGGACAACAAUAGAGCCUCACGGACCCAUCCCGUCCCGACAAUGAUGUGAUGAAGGAAAAAUAACAAUAUACCACUUUGCGGCCGAUGAAAGAGCAAACAGAAACCUCCAGCGCUGACCCGAUUCACAGCAGAGAUCUGAGGAAGAAGAAAAAUUGCUUUCCUCUGUUCUCUUAAAAGGACUUUUAUGUUCACUUGGUGGUCUGAGUUUAUCUGUAGUGACAGAUCUCACUGUGCUGCACUGCAUUAAUACUACAUACAAAAACAAUCCUGUGAGACAUUACCUAAUAAUCCUGAUGGAUAAAUGAUGUACCGCCUGUUAGAGUGUGAGAACAGCAGAACAGUGACAUAACGGCAGAAUAUAAGGAGUCAGAACAAGACUGACCUACAACCCCGGUGACUGAUAGAUCAUUAAAGCUCUCCGUCAACAAAUUCUCCAUUGCCAAGUUUCAUAUUGCCUGAGGAGCUUAUCAACAGAUUCAGGCAACCUUUAACCAAGCCACUGAUCCUGCGUGCCCUUCUUCACCAUCAGGCUUGUUCAGCCUGCAUCCUGCAGCUGAUGGGUCAUGUUCUGUUUACUGUACAUUCAGUGCCGGCACAAAGAGCGCACACACAUUCGUAUACACACACACGACAUAUACAAACGCAUGUAAACAGCACCCAGCACCCUCAAAGGAAAGCUGCUCAGCUAUGUAGCUCAUCGAGAGUGACCAUCCGUGAAAAACAUCAACAGAGGAGCUUGGAUUUACCUCAGCGCCUCGGCUCCAAUUGGAUGAGCCCCAGCAUAAACACAUGGGAUUGGCUUUCAUCUUGUUAAUUGCAUUGUGCCUCAGUGACACAAGCUACUGGAGAUUUCGCGAGCGUUGUACUCCCCGUGUUUAUCUGUGCAAAUGUCAUCCGUAGCUGCACGUAAUGAGGGUGUGCUGCAAUACUUCACCGAGGGACUUGUGAGGUGACUGGCAAGGCAGACUGUCAGGUAGGUGGCGGGGUAGAUCGCCAUGGCAACCUGCACACUGAGUUCAGGGCGUAAGAACCAAACGACCCUUGAUCAAUCGGCUCCAUCGCCAUUCCCGGAGGAUGACAUGGGCUUUAUCGAAUUAUCUUCUUGUGGAACUCACACCGUGAAGAAAACAAGGCAAAAAUGUGCC